GAUGAACGCUGGCGGCGUGCUUAACACAUGCAAGUCGAGCGAGAAGUUUUGAAAAGAUUCUUCGGAUGAAAUUUAAAAUGGAAAGCGGCGGACGGGUGAGUAACGCGUAGGCAACCUGCCCCAUACAAAGGGAUAGCAUUUGGAAACGAAUAUUAAUACCUUAUGAAACUUAACUAGUGCAUGCUAGGUAGGUCAAAGAUUUAUCGGUAUGGGAUGGGCCUGCGUCUGAUUAGCUAGUUGGUGAGGUAACGGCUCACCAAGGCGACGAUCAGUAGCCGACCUGAGAGGGUGAGCGGCCACAUUGGAACUGAGACACGGUCCAAACUCCUACGGGAGGCAGCAGUGGGGAAUAUUGCACAAUGGGGGAAACCCUGAUGCAGCAACGCCGCGUGAACGAUGAAGGCCUUUGGGGCGUAAAGUUCUGUUCUAGGUGAUGAAAACUGACAGUAACCUAGGAGAAAGCCCCGGCUAACUCCGUG
rnacentral:rRNA from 1 species